rnacentral:rRNA from 1 species
GUAACGCGUAUGCACACUUGCCUUACAGAGGGGGAUAACCCGCUUGAAAGACGGACUAACACCGCAUAUGCUCAGGGGUCUGCAUGGGCCUUUGAGGAAAUAUUUAUAGCUGUAAGAUAGGCAUGCGUCCCAUUAGCUUGUUGGUGAGGUAACGGCUCACCAAGGCAACGAUGGGUAGGGGAACUGAGAGGUUUAUCCCCCACACUGGUACUGAGACACGGUCCAGACUCCUACGGGAGGCAGCAGUGAGGAAUAUUGGUCAAUGGGCGAGAGCCUGAACCAGCCAAGUCGCGUGAAGGAUGAAGGCCCUAUGGGUCGUAAACUUCUUUUAUACGGGAAUAACGAGCCUUACGGGUAGGGCGCUGAAUGUACCGUAGGAAUAAGCAUCGGCUAACUCCGUGCCAGCAGCCGCGGUAAUACGGAGGAUGCGAGCGUUAUCCGGAUUUAUUGGGUUUAAAGGGUGCGUAGGUUGCUUGGUAAGUCAGCGGUGAAAACUGAACGCUCAACGUUCAGCGUGCCGUUGAAACUGUCAGGCUUGAGUGCAGUGGCGGCAGGCGGAAUUCGUGGUGUAGCGGUGAAAUGCAUAGAUAUCACGAGGAACUCCGAUUGCGAAGGCAGCUUGCCAUACUGUAACUGACACUGAAGCACGAAGGCGUGGGUAUCAAACAGGAUUAGAUACCCUGGUAGUCCACGCAGUAAACGAUGAUUACUAGGAGUUUGCGAUAUACCGAUAAGCUUCC